CUGAAACUCGCCUACAUGAAGCUGGAGUUACUAGUAAUCGCAGAUCAGAAUGCUGCGGUGAAUGCGUUCCCGGGUCUUGUACACACCGCCCGUCACACCACGGAAGUUGGGGGCGCCCGAAGCCACUUAGCUAACCCAUUUGGGAAGCGAGUGUCGAAGGUGAAAUCAAUAACUGGGGUGAAGUCGUAACAAGGUAAC
rnacentral:rRNA from 1 species